rnacentral:rRNA from 1 species
UACGUAGGGGGCUAGCGUUGUCCGGAUUUAUUGGGCGUAAAGAGCGUGUAGGCGGCCAGGUAGGUCGGUUGUGAAAACUGGAGGCUCAACCUUCAGAGGUCGACCGAAACCAUCUGGCUAGAGUCCGGGAGAGGAGAGUGGAAUUCCUGGUGUAGCGGUGAAAUGCGCAGAUAUCAGGAAGAACACCCGUGGCGAAAGCGGCUCUCUGGGCCGGAACUGACGCUGAGGAGCGAAAGCGUGGGUAGCAAACAGG